GGUAGGAUGGCCGAGUUUAAGCGGUGGAUUGUAGCCCCACAUACAGAGGUUUGUUCCCUCUUCCUAUCA
rnacentral:tRNA from 1 species